rnacentral:rRNA from 1 species
UUACGGUCAAAUCACGCUGAAACACCGGUUCUCGUUCGAUCACCGAAGUUAAGCAUCGUAGAGCCAGGUCAGUACUUAGAUGGGGACCGCUUGGGAACACUUGGUACUGUAA